rnacentral:rRNA from 1 species
UGGGGAAUUUUGGACAAUGGGCGCAAGCCUGAUCCAGCCAUGCCGCGUGCGGGAAGAAGGCCUUCGGGUUGUAAACCGCUUUUGUCAGGGAAGAAAUCUUCUGAGUUAAUACCUCGGGAGGAUGACGGUACCUGAAGGAUAAGCACCGGCUAACUACGUGCCAGCAGCCGCGGUAAUACGUAGGGUGCAAGCGUUAAUCGGAAUUACUGGGCGUAAAGCGUGCGCAGGCGGUUUUGUAAGACAGAGGUGAAAUCCCCGGGCUCAGCCUGGGAACUGCCUUUGUGACUGCAAGGCUUGAGUGCGGCAGAGGGGGGAUGGAAUUCCGCGUGUAGCAGUGAAAUGCGUAGAUAUGCGGAGGAACACCGAUGGCGAAGGCAAUCCCCUGGGCCUGCACUGCGCUCAUGCACGAAAGCGUGGGGAGCAAACAGGAUUAGAUACCCUGGUAGUCCACGCCCUAAACGAUGUCAACUGGUUGUUGGGAAGGUUCCUUCUCAGUAACGUAGCUAACGCGUGAAGUUGGCCGCCUGGGGAGUACGGCCGCAAGGUUGAAACUUAAAUGAAUUGACGGGGUCAUAGCUGUUUCCUG